rnacentral:misc_RNA from 1 species
GAAAGCACCCGACGACCCGACAUUUAUAAAUCGGCAAGCAGGACAGUUUAAAGAUAUGCGAGAGAAGUACCACCGGACAUUUCUGUUUCUCAUUCCAUUUCUAAUAUCUUCAGUACAUUGCCAAUUAUCUUGUCAUCGAAUACCAACUUCAUUUUGUUGUACUUCAAGAAUACGGGAUCAAUGUCCAGAACAGUGUGCUUCAGUCCAAUGUGGCACUGAUUUUAUUCAUAGUUUAUUCUCAACUGAUGGUUCUCGACGGCCGGCACCAAGCGGAGCACACGAUGGGAAUGCAAAUAUUGGAGGAACAGGAAGUGUGGAUAAUUUGAGAUCUGCUUUCGGAUCCGCUGGAGAACCAUUUGUGACGUCACCUCCUCCAGCUCAACCACUCUUCCCUCAACAGACUCCACCCCCACCUGCAUCACCUCUUAUCAGUAACAGUGGAGAUGUAUUUGCAAGAUCAAGGAAGGAAAUAAGUGGAGCACCGGAUUCGGAGCAACAAUCUGGAAGUGCUGCGACAUUGAGAGACUCAUCGGUAAUAUCAUCAAAUCCAUCAUCAAUUCCCUAUCUUGUUCGCCGUUUCUCAUCUCGAAGCUCCUCCCCUUCUUUUGCUCAUUCUCGAGCUCAUCAUCGUCUUAUCUGCCGUCUCACUACACCUGGCCGCCUUGCUUGUAAUCGUCCAAUUUCCCGACUUUACAAAAAUCGUUACGUCACACCGCCUAAAUCAUGGAAUCGACCGGAUGUUCGGAAGACGAGUCCGUUGAGAAUUCGCAAGAAAAAUUUUGCGACGACUAAAAUUCAUAUCACUCCGUUUAUGGGUGAACUUGCGAGAAAACGACGGAAAUUAGAUAGUGGUUCAUCUCACGAAUGGAAGGUGUCUAUAAUUCCACGUGGACAGAAUAAAAAACCGGCAAAUGUGAAGUCAAUUCCACCAUUUACAAUUGAUGGAAAAGCUGAUGAGAGGUUUAAUAAAUUUUAUAGAACAAUUGACAGUGUGAUAAACAAUUUGGAUUUGACAAACGGAGGAAAUUUACACGAAAGGGAGGGUGAACCACAAAUACGAUUAGAGGGAAGCACUGGAAACUCAAAGGAUCUAUCAGUAGAAUCAUCUGCAGCUGUAAUAGUACCCCGUACUACUGUAGCUCCAGGUGUUACUAAUAAAGUCAGUGUAAUACCAUUCCGUCCACUACACUUUACUGCUCCACCGAGAAACGGUCCACCAGGAGUUGCUCCGCCAAAAGGAGCAGCUGGAAAUGAACAAUGUGGUGUUUCUCCUGAUUUUACUCCGUGUGUUAGCAAUGAAAUUGCGAGUAAAUCACUUUUAGAAUGUUGUAAACGAAAGAAUUUACCUGCUGGAUGUCAACAAUUAUGCAGAUAUGAUAUUACACAGACAGAGAUCCGUGCUGCAAUGGACCGUGGACAAUGUGGAAUAUUUAACGUGGCUCCAUUCUUAGAAUGUGCAUCACAGGGAAAAGAUAAUUCAGAGUGUUGUAGGCACAGGGGAAUUGUUCAGAAAACAGGACCCCAAUGUGAGCAAUUCUGUCGUCCGGCUCAAGGACUUUCAUCUCUUGGAGUUCAGCAUAUUGUAUGUGGAAAUGCAGUUGGUGAUAUGCUUCAUUGUCAUCAUUCUGGUGUUCGAAUUUAA